GACGAACGCUGGCGGCGUGCUUAACACAUGCAAGUCGAACGAUGAAGCCGGAGCUUGCUCUGGUGAAUUAGUGGCGAACGGGUGAGUAACACGUGAGUAACCUGCCCUUGACUCUGGGAUAACUGCGGGAAACUGUAGCUAAUACCGGAUACGACCCUCGGAGGCAUCUCCUGGGGGUGGAAAGAAUUUCGGUCAAGGAUGGACUCGCGGCCUAUCAGCUAGUUGGUGAGGUAACGGCUCACCAAGGCGACGACGGGUAGGCGGCCUGAGAGGGUGACCGGCCACACUGGGACUGAGACACGGCCCAGACUCCUACGGGGGGCAGCAGUGGGGAAUAUUGCACAAUGGGCGCAAGCCUGAUGCAGCAACGCCGCGUGAGGGAUGACGGCCUUCGGGUUGUAAACCUCUUUUAGCAGGGAAGAAGCGAAAGUGACGGUACCUGCAGAAAAAGCACCGGCUAACUACGUGCCAGCCGCCGCAGUAA
rnacentral:rRNA from 1 species